ACAAAAGUGGGAGAGGAAAGAAGAAAAAAAAAGAAGAAACAGAUUUGAUAGUAGCGAGGAUGGGAGGAACUUAGGGACGGGAAAUGAAGGUGAAGGAUGGGCUCGAUGAAGGGAAGGAGAGGAGAGAAUGAGGGAGUGAAGGAAAGGUAGAGGAAAAUAGGGGUGGAAAGAGAGGUAAAGGAUGGGUUUGAUAAAAGAAAGAGGGGAGAAGGGAGAGAAAGGAAAGGAGGAUAGAGGAAAGAUGGAUGAAAGUAGGGAUGGAGAGAGAGAUAAAGAAUGGGAUUGAAAAGAGAAGGAGAAGGGGAAGAAAUGAGAUGAAAGAACGGGAAAGGAGAAAAGGAGAAAAGGAGAGGAAAGGGGAAGGGAUGGCGUACCAGACAGAGAGGA